UCCUGGUGGCUCAGUGGUAAAGAAUCUGCCUACAAUGCAGGCAACCCCAGGUUCGAUCCCUGGGUCGGGAA
rnacentral:tRNA from 1 species